rnacentral:rRNA from 1 species
UGGGGAAUAUUGGACAAUGGGGGCAACCCUGAUCCAGCCAUGCCGCGUGUGUGAAGAAGGCCUUCGGGUUGUAAAGCACUUUCGGACGGAACGAAAUCGCGCGGGCGAAUACCCCGCGUGGAUGACGGUACCGUAAGAAGAAGCACCGGCUAACUACGUGCCAGCAGCCGCGGUAAUACGUAGGGUGCGAGCGUUAAUCGGAAUUACUGGGCGUAAAGUGUGCGCAGGCGGCCGAGCAAGUCGAGUGUGAAAGCCCCGAGCUUAACUUGGGAAUUGCGCUCGAAACUACUUGGCUGGAGUGUGGCAGAAGGGGCAAUCGGAAUUCUUGGUGUAGCGGUGAAAUGCGUAGAUAUCAAGAGGAACACCUGAGGUGAAGACGGGUUGCUGGGCUGACACUGACGCUGAGGCGCGAAAGCCAGGGGAGCAAACGGGAUUAGAUACCCUCGUAGUCCCUGAGCGGGCUGGCAAGGCGCAU